rnacentral:rRNA from 1 species
GACGGAAGGUGCAAGCGUUGCUCGGAAUCACUGGGCGUAAAGGGUGCGUAGGCGGCCAACUAAGUCAGACGUGAAAUCCCCAGGCUCAACCUGGGAACUGCGUCUGAUACUGGUUGGCUUGAAUCCGGGAGAGGGAUGCAGAAUUCCAGGUGUAGCGGUGAAAUGCGUAGAUAUCUGGAGGAAUACCGGUGGCGAAGGCGGCAUCCUGGACCGGCAUUGACGCUGAGGAGCGAAAGCCAGGGGAGCAAACGGG